CAUGAAUUAGUAACUACUUCCC
rnacentral:siRNA from 1 species